rnacentral:rRNA from 1 species
UACGUAGGGCGCAAGCGUUAUCCGGAAUUAUUGGGCGUAAAGAGCUCGUAGGCGGUUUUGUCGCGUCUGCUGUGAAAACUCGAGGCUCAACCUCGGGCUUGCAGUGGGUACGGGCAGACUAGAGUGCGGUAGGGGGAGACUGGAAUUCCUGGUGUAGCGGUGGAAUGCGCAGAUAUCAGGAGGAACACCGAUGCGAAGGCAGGUCUCUGGGCCGCAA